UACGUAGGGUGCAAGCGUUGUCCGGAAUUAUUGGGCGUAAAGGGCGCGUAGGCGGCCACCGCAAGUCGGUUGUGAAAUCUCCGGGCUUAACCCGGAAAGGUCAAUCGAUACUGCGGGGCUAGAGUGCAGAAGGGGCAACUGGAAUUCUCGGUGUAGCGGUGAAAUGCGUAGAUAUCGAGAGGAACACCUGCGGCGAAGGCGGGUUGCUGGGCUGACACUGACGCUGAAGCGCGAAAGCUAGGGGAGCGAACGGG
rnacentral:rRNA from 1 species